rnacentral:lncRNA from 1 species
UAUAAAGCUUUCUCUUGUUUAAUACAAAGUAUUCUUGCAAGCUUCUCUUCUUAGCUUCUCUUAGCUUUGUUGUGGCAAUAUUUCGGGAAAAGGCUGACUUAGCACAUCGCAGGGGCGAAUUGUGACUAAGGCCGCACGGAAGAUAGCUAGGGAGUUAUCUGGUCCGUGACAGUUGGUAUCAGAGCAACGCUACGAAAGGGUUCGUGGGUUAGCUUGGACACAUACACGACAUGGCUAGCGGUGGCGAGGAGCAAGUUCGCAAGGGUCGCGAGGA